rnacentral:rRNA from 1 species
UACGAGUGCCCCGAGCGUUAUCCGGAAUCAUUGGGCGUAAAGGGUGUGUAGGUGGUCGCGUUAGUCAAUUGUUAAAACCCGAGGCUCAACCUCGGACCGGCGAUUGAAACGGCACGACUAGAGGAUGCGAGGGAUGUAUGGAACUCAUGGAGUAGGGGUGAAAUCCGUUGAUAUCAUGGGGAACACCAAAAGCGAAGGCAGUACAUUGGCGCAUUCCUGACACUGAAACACGAAAGCGUGGGUAGCGAAUGGG